AGUGAACGCUGGCGGUAUGCCUAACACAUGCAAGUCGAACGGCAGCACAGUAAGAUCUUGCUCUUACGGGUGGCGAGUGGCGGGCGGGUGAGGAAUACAUCGGAAUCUACUUUUUCGGGGGGGAUAACGUAGGGAAACUUACUCUAAUACAGCAUAUGACGUACCGGGGAAAGCAGGGGAUCUUCGGACCUUGCGCGGUUGAAUGAGCCGAUGUCGGAUUAGCUAGUUGGCGGGGUAAAGGCCCACCAUGGCGACGAUACGUAGCUUGACUGAGAGGAUGGUCGCCGACCCUGGAACUUAGCCGCGGUCCAGACUCCUACGGGAGGCAGCAGUGGGGAAUGUUGGGCAAUGGGGGGAAGCCUGAUACAGCCAUCGCGCGUGGGUGACGAAGGCGUUCGGGUUGUAAAGACGUUUUGUUGGGUAAGAACAGCAGCCGGUUGAUACCCCGCUGUUCUGACGGUACCCAAUGAAUAAGCACCGGCUAACUACGUG
rnacentral:rRNA from 1 species